GCGGGUGUGGUGGAAUGGCAGACACAACAGACUUAAAAUCUGUCGGGGUUUCCCCGUGCCGGUUCGAGUCCGGCUACCCGCACCA
rnacentral:tRNA from 1 species